AUUGAACGCUGGCGGCAGGCCUAACACAUGCAAGUCGAGCGGUAGAGAGGUGCUUGCAUCUCUUGAGAGCGGCGGACGGGUGAGUAAUGCCUAGGAAUCUGCCCUAGUGGUGGGGGAUAACGUUCGGAAACGGACGCUAAUACCGCAUACGUCCUACGGGAGAAAGCGGGGGAUCUUCGGACCUCGCGCCAUUAGAUGAGCCUAGGUCGGAUUAGCUAGUUGGUGAGGUAAUGGCUCACCAAGGCGACGAUCCGUAACUGGUCUGAGAGGAUGAUCAGUCACACUGGAACUGAGACACGGUCCAGACUCCUACGGG
rnacentral:rRNA from 1 species